CUAAUCAACCGGUUUCCUUCGCGACUCGCUAACUGAGCGCAGCAAGCUGCAACAGCUCGCAACUUGGAAAUCCUCCGAUUCAAAUGUGUUCUGGUUGAUUUUAGAUGUAUUAUUUAGUCUUUAUCCAUCAUUAAGUUCAUUGUUGGAUUCAUCAGUAUUGUUGACUGUGAAUUUCAUACAUGGAGAUACCGUUUUGUUUAAUAGACAGAGACAUCUGAGUCAUAACGACUAUGUAACAGAGCGGAAUUCUGGUGGAUUUCUGGAUUUCUGCUCUCAGGAAUUGGGAAGCCUGAGCUGUUUGCUUGUGUGAGUGGGUGUGUGGGUGUUUAGGUGACUGUGUGAAUAAUUGUGUGAGGAUUCCGCACAUCCAUCCUCAACAGUUAAUGCUGGUAGAGAGCAGAGAAGUGUGUUAUUGAGACACUUAGCGUGGAAACACACACACAGAAACCUACACACACACACACACUGUGCUGUCACACACUGUCUGCCGAUGAGCUCUGUCAUGCAGUCGUUUCUCUCUCCAGUGAACAAGGCUAUUCUAGUAGCUCUGUUCAUCUUCGCCAUCCUCCUCAUCCUCUAUGUGAUCCUCUGGUACAUCUGUAGAGACGUGGACUGCGACCACGGCAUCUGAUCUGAUUAACACCGGGAAAACCACCGAAUAACCUAACGGUGGAGAGAGACCCGUCUGAAAGAGGGUCACCCUGAGCUGCCCAGACAACAUGGCAGAGUUGGUAUAGUGACGGGAGGCAUCAGGGGAAUCUGCUUUGAGACCACAAGACACAUGGCCAGCCUGGGGGCACACGUUAUCAUAGCUGGACAGCAUGAGCGGGAGGGUGUGUCUGCUGUGAAGAGGAUUCGUGUGAGGAGAACAGAGGCCAAAGGUCACAGUCCACACAACCCUGUUUGGUUUUGUGUCUCCUUGGCUCUGGAUAUUACUGAUUGGCUGGAGAGUGAACACACCUUUACAAAGUGGAGUUUGAGCAGUUGGAUUUGGCGUCUUUGCUGUCAGUCAGGCAAUUCAUCCAGACUGUCAAGAGAGGCUGAAUAGAAGAGGGUUCCCAGUGAGCUCAUGUGCAGUGGACCCUGGGAUGGUCGACACGUCGCUCUACCGCCACCUCUUCCCCCCAUCACACGUCUGCUCUUUAGGGGAGCAUCUAUGGUCAUCUACACUGCUCUGUCUCCAUCUCUGGAAGGGGAGAGAGGGAGCUACAGGAGCAACGGACGCACAGAGAUGUCAUCACCAAACACCUACAACCCCAGGCUCCAGCUCAGCCUCUAGGACUCCAGCUGCAGACUAGUGAGCUUGCAGGAGCAGCACCAACCAUGACCCCUGACUUCUAACCCCUGAGCUCUUACUCCAUGACCCUGACCCCAACACUGUAUGGCUGAGACCCAACACUUCAUCUGUCAUCCUGCCGUUAUCUUUGUUUUCACAAUCUCCUCACCACCAGACUGUGAUUGGAUAAAGAUUGAUGACCAAGGCUGGACUGUGAUUGGUUAGUGAAGCAGUAAGCCCUGUUGCAUACUCUUCAGAUGAAUGGGCUGAUGAAAAUGAAGCAACCUUCUCCCGCUGGCACUGUGAACCCACACACACUGUGUUAUGAGUGUUUAUAGUGCUGCUAUGAGUGUCUGUAGCACCGCAACCUUAUGCCAGUUGGUACACAGAUCAGAACAGAAAGAACCUUCCCUCCAUGGGAAAACUUUAUUUAAUCAUAAACAAGUGUCAUCAGUGUGUGUAUGUGUCCAUAUCAGUUAUCAUUGUGUGUGAGUGAUUUUGUCAGUAGCAUCCAGGAGCAUCCUGUGUCUGUGAAACAUAUCCUGAUCCCUGCCUGACUGGAUGGUCCAGGACCAAGGAACAAGCCAGCAUGGCAAUAACAUCAGUAAAUCACAGCCUGAAACUGAUAUUUUCAGUUCUUGUGAAAGCAAGCAAAAGUUAUUUUGUGGAAUUCUCCCCAACGCUGUGGGUUACUUCCCCAGGGAGCAGACACCAUCUGAGAGAAUUAAUGCUUUUAGAUUGUGUUCCACCUGCUGUGCUGUGAGUCACACACUGUUUCAUGGUGUUUGUCCGUCUUUGUUACUGUUAGAGGUGAGUGAUGUUUUAUCAAUACACACAUAUCACCUCUCUCAAUACAUCAUGUUGCUGUGUGUGUUUCUGGGCACAGUAUUGUGUGUGUGUGUGUGUGUGUGUGUGUGUGUGGGUGUCUUUCAGUGUGCGCUGUUUGUGUGUUUCUUACAGUCAUUGGCUUGUAUGCAUCAGUGGCGGUUCUAGCUUGUAUGGCUCCCGGGGCGAACCCCCCCUUCAGCA